rnacentral:rRNA from 1 species
GAUGAACGCUGGCGGCGUGCCUAAUACAUGCAAGUCGAGCGAACGGACGAGAAGCUUGCUUCUCUGAUGUUAGCGGCGGACGGGUGAGUAACACGUGGAUAACCUACCUAUAAGACUGGGAUAACUUCGGGAAACCGGAGCUAAUACCGGAUAAUAUUUUGAACCGCAUGGUUCAAAAGUGAAAGACGGUCUUGCUGUCACUUAUAGAUGGAUCCGCGCUGCAUUAGCUAGUUGGUAAGGUAACGGCUUACCAAGGCAACGAUGCAUAGCCGACCUGAGAGGGUGAUCGGCCACACUGGAACUGAGACACGGUCCAGACUCCUACGGGAGGCAGCAGUAGGGAAUCUUCCGCAAUGGGCGAAAGCCUGACGGAGCAACGCCGCGUGAGUGAUGAAGGUCUUCGGAUCGUAAAACUCUGUUAUUAGGGAAGAACAUAUGUGUAAGUAACUGUGCACAUCUUGACGGUACCUAAUCAGAAAGCCACGGCUAACUACGUGCCAGCAGCCGCGGUAAUACGUAGGUGGCAAGCGUUAUCCGGAAUUAUUGGGCGUAAAGCGCGCGUAGGCGGUUUUUUAAGUCUGAUGUGAAAGCCCACGGCUCAACCGUGGAGGGUCAUUGGAAACUGGAAAACUUGAGUGCAGAAGAGGAAAGUGGAAUUCCAUGUGUAGCGGUGAAAUGCGCAGAGAUAUGGAGGAACACCAGUGGCGAAGGCGACUUUCUGGUCUGUAACUGACGCUGAUGUGCGAAAGCGUGGGGAUCAAACAGGAUUAGAUACCCUGGUAGUCCACGCCGUAAACGAUGAGUGCUAGGUGUUAGGGGGUUUCCGCCCCUUAGUGCUGCAGCUAACGCAUUAAGCACUCCGCCUGGGGAGUACGACCGCAAGGUUGAAACUCAAAGGAAUUGACGGGGACCCGCACAAGCGGUGGAGCAUGUGGUUUAAUUCGAAGCAACGUGAAGAACCUUACCAAAUCUUGACAUCCUUUGACAACUCUAGAGAUAGAGCCUUCCCCUUCGGGGGACAAAGUGACAGGUGGUGCAUGGUUGUCGUCAGCUCGUGUCGUGAGAUGUUGGGUUAAGUCCCGCAACGAGCGCAACCCUUAAGCUUAGUUGCCAUCAUUAAGUUGGGCACUCUAAGUUGACUGCCGGUGACAAACCGGAGGAAGGUGGGGAUGACGUCAAAUCAUCAUGCCCCUUAUGAUUUGGGCUACACACGUGCUACAAUGGACAAUACAAAGGGCAGCGAAACCGCGAGGUCAAGCAAAUCCCAUAAAGUUGUUCUCAGUUCGGAUUGUAGUCUGCAACUCGACUACAUGAAGCUGGAAUCGCUAGUAAUCGUAGAUCAGCAUGCUACGGUGAAUACGUUCCCGGGUCU